rnacentral:rRNA from 1 species
UACGUAGGGCGCAAGCGUUGUCCGGAAUCAUUGGGCGUAAAGAGCGUGUAGGCGGUUUGGUAGGUCCGCUGUGAAAACUCGAGGCUCAACCUCGAGACGCCGGUGGAAACCAUCAGACUAGAGUCCGGAAGAGGAGAGUGGAAUUCCUGGUGUAGCGGUGAAAUGCGCAGAUAUCAGGAAGAACACCCGUGGCUAAGGCGGCUCUCUAGUACGGUACUGACGCUGAGACGCGAAAGCGUGGGGAGCGAACAGG